rnacentral:rRNA from 1 species
GAAUGCUGACAUAAGUAACGAUAAAGCGGGUGAAAAGCCCGCUCGCCGGAAGACCAAGGGUUCCUGUCCAACGUUAAUCGGGGCAGGGUGAGUCGACCCCUAAGGCGAGGCCGAAAGGCGUAGUCGAUGGGAAACGGGUUAAUAUUCCCGUACUUGGUGUUACUGCGAAGGGGGGACGGAGAAGGCUAUGUUGGCCGGGCGACGGUUGUCCCGGUUUAAGCGUGUAGGUGUGUGUUCCAGGUAAAUCCGGUUCACUUUAACACUGAGGCGUGACGACGAGGCACUACGGUGCUGAAGCAACAAAUGCCCUGCUUCCAGGAAAAGCCUCUAAGCAUCAGGUAACACGAAAUCGUACCCCAAACCGACACAGGUGGUCAGGUAGAGAAUACCAAGGCGCUUGAGAGA